GUGUGAACUGCUUUCCAGUCUGGGAAACGUGUGGAAUCUCUGUUCCCAGUGUUCUGGUGGCGAGUCCAUUUCCAUGUACCACGCAGGGCACUAGGUCAGAAUACCUUCAGAGCCAAUAACUUUGAUCAAGUAAAACGACAACCCUCCGUCAUGCAUGUUUUUCAACGAUUCGCUUACUCACGCAACAAGUUAUUUACCACCAACCCACUAUGUGACUGGGGAUAUCACAGGAUCAGGAGUACGGGAAGGAAGAAGACGAACAAAAAUGCCUGCCCCUGUGGAGUUCAGGUUCUACUAUGGAGAGACGGGCAGCAUAUAAAAAGUAAAACGGGGGUGCCUGGGUCGCUCAGUCGGUUGAGCGUCUGACUCCAGCUCAGGUCGUGAUCUCACAGUUCGUGGGUUCAAGCCCCACGUCGGGCC